UUUUUGUAUUUUUACCUAAACAAAGGACUUGUCUAGCCCAACUUUACUGACACCUCCUAUUUCCAAGAGCUGGGUUCCACAACUGCUUGCUCAGGGGAUAUCUUCCAGAAAGAAGCCUGCAGCAUUUCCAUUAACCAGCCAUGCUCCGGUUGCUCUUCUCAGUACUGGGGAUGAUUUUUGCCCCGAGAGACACCAGAGCCCAGACAGUGAUCCAGCCUGACAACCACAUCACCAUCUCUGAAGGCGCUUUACUGGAGCUGAAGUGCAAGUAUGUUUAUGGUGCAACUCCUACCCUCUUCUGGUACGUGCAGUACCCCAGCCAAGGCCCCCUGCUUCUCCUCAAGUACUAUGCCGGGGACACCUUGGUUAAAGGCAUCAAAGAUUUUGAAGCUGAACUUAGGACGAAUGAGACGUCCUUCACCCUGAGGAAACACUUUGCCCACUGGAGUGACUCGGCAGAGUACUUCUGUGCUGUGAGUGCCACAGUGCUGUAG